ensembl:lncRNA
AGGCCACACCCAUGGCAUGUGGAAGUUCCCAGGUUAGGGGUCAAAUGGGAGCCGUAGCUGCCGGCCUACACCACAGCCAAAGCAACGCGGGAUCCAAGCUGUGUCUAUGACCUACACACAGCUCACAGCAAUGCCAGAUCCUUAACCCCACUGAGCAAGGCCAGGGAUUGAACCUGCAUCCACAUGGAUACUAGUUGGAUUCGUUUCUGCUGAGCCACAAUGGGAACGCCCUAUAUGACACACAACCUUUCUAGUUACAAGCUAGCUGUGUUUUGUGCAUGGUGUGGGGUCUCUGGCAUGGGCCAGGAUGAAGAUGUCCAGCUAAAGUUAAGUCACCGAUUUCCACCCCUGUCUUGGUGGAAUGGAAAUAGUGCUCUUAUUUUUUGGAAAUAAGACUAAAGGCAGUAACACAUUACGCAUCACAGUGAUUGUAAAUGUCACAAUUUCACAACUGAAGAAGUUCCAUCUGCCACUAAAGGGUUAAAGAAACAUUCAUUUGCUGUUGGCAGGAGGAGAGACAGGGCGGAGCACAUGAAGGACAGAAGGAACACAGACUGUGGAUCAGACAGAGCUGAGGUUAAAUUUCAGCUCUCUCAAUUACUAUCUGAGAUCUUGAAUGUGUUACAAGUUACUUAGCUAUGCUAAGCAUGAACAGAGACAACGAGACCCACCAAUAAACAUUUUCACAUCACUCCUGAAUAUACUGGUUAUGUAUCUUGUGUGUGGUAUAUGUGUGGGAGAGAGAGGGAGAGAAAGGGAGGCAGGACUGGAUAAGAACUUCUAUUUAGCACAGUGUCUGUAACCCUCAGGGAUUCCAGCGAUGGUAAAUAAUAUUAUCAUCAUUGGUAGUAUUACUUACAGGUUAGUAUUAGAGAUGGUGUUAGUUUAUUUUGCUUGAAGAUGAAAAGGGGAUAAAAACUAUUUUAAGCAUGGGCAAAAACCAAACAAACAAAACCUCCUUAAUCAAGUUUCAUUUGGCUGUCCAAGAACAUUUUAUUUCUAGAGUCGAAUAUCUUCGAGUUAUAAGGGACUUACUAGAAGUCAUCAAGCCAAUCUUCAGCUUCCAAUACACCCCCGACACCAUCAUUAAAGCUCUAAGGAAACAUCCUCCAUGAAGAAGAACUCAUACUUCUCAACCACGUCUCGCACUUUUUGACACCUGACAUUCUAUUGUAUUUCUGGAGAACAAAAACUCUCCAGUAAUGGGAUUAGAAGAUGAACAAAAUUAGGAAAUGCAGGUGAGAGAAAGGAGUGAAAGGAAGACGUUUCAGAGAAGCUCUGGAAAGGGCUGCUGACACAGCGAGCCUGGGGGAUGCGUGCAGUGGCUCCAGAUGGCAGGCACCAUGGAAAAGGCAGCUGGCAGGCCAAAGAAGCCAGACUGCCUGACUGCAGGAGACUGCCACUUGGCUGAGGUCCUAUGCUGGGGUUUAGCCUCCAUAUCUCCAAAUCAGAAAGUUAGCUCUUGGAGCCCAGCAGGGAGCCUGUGUAACCAACGAGGCAGGUUCAUGGGAUGUGCUGCUGAUUGUUUACAGUAGGAGUUCACCCACCACAAAGGACAGUCACCUUUGAAAGAUCUUUCGGCCUCUUCUGCUCAACGGGCCUCUGGUUACCUGCAUACGUACCCAGGGCAGGAAUGUCAUCCAUUUCUCAAUUCCAAAACUGGGAAGGCUGGGAUAACCAAGGAGAACUGUCCAGCAAGCUGCAUGGUCCUUUGAGAGGAAUCAGCUGGAAUGUGGCCUUUGGGUUUCCCUAGGAACCCUGAGUUAUCCUGAGGAGUGGGUCUUAAGGCAUAAAUCUCAGCCAUUUGGGAUGUAACUUCACACAUUCUGUGUCACUGUUUACAGGGGAACAACCACUUGACCCUUUUUUAGGUCUGGCUCAAAUAUAGGAGGAUCCCGAGAUAAGGAUCAUCAUGACCUCACCCUCUCCUUAGUCUCACAAGGGACCCCUCUCGCUAAGGAGAAGGGUGUUGAGUCCAGCUGCUUGUGAGGCAGCACCACGAUCUGACAACCUCAGAGGAAGCCCCCUCUCAGACCACCCCCAGCACCUGGGCUACGAUGCACAUGUGAAUUCCCAAGGUCACAUUCCAACAAGAUCUUGAAAGCGAGCCUCUGGGCAAAAAGAGGUUCUUUAAAGCACCUUCAAUCCUGUGCGCUCAGGUUGGAAAGCCAGAAACAAUCUGGGUGACAAGUGUCCCCCUCUGGCCCCUGAUGCACCUGCUCACCUGCAUUCCGAUGAUGGCGUAGAUGAAGAAAAGCAUGGCAAUCAGAAGGCAGACGUAGGGGAGGGCCUGGAAGGAACACAGAGACAUGACCAUGAAUUUAGAGAGCAGCAGCUCCAGGGUCCACCGCCUACAUCACAGGCUAUACAGGAACUCUGCCUCUGAGACUGAUGUCAGCACAGGGGUAGGAUUCUAUUCCUUGGGGAUGUUCUAUUGUGGGGUUCCAUACUUUUGCAGAUAUCCAUGUCCUCUGACAGGUAUGUAAGCUGUGGCCUCGGAGAAGCUUGUAAUUUCUCCUCUGUUGAGAAUACUCCCUGACUCAGAAAUGUGUGGACCAAAUCUCCAAGGGAGAGCCGGAAAAACUUCCUGGGCUUGGGAUUCACCCAGUUCUGCACGCUGAAUAUUAAUAACCUGGGCAAUUGUGAUGCCAUUUACACUGCAAGCAUCUAGCUUUGGCUCCCAAAGCCCUGUAUUACCCUUCCCACCACCUCUCUCAAUGACGAGAUCAUAACUGUAACGCAGCAUCUGGAAGCUAAACGAGAUGGCUGGGGUCUCCAUUGUUGGUCAGUUCCUAGAAGGGUCCUUCAAACGCUGAGGAAACAUCCUUUUCCAAUGUUUAAGCCUCCUGACCUUUUGUUCUGUGUCACACAAAAUUCCAAAAAGCCUUUCAAAAUGUGAGCCACCACAAAACCAUUCCAUGAAGCCACGCGGUGUGAAAUUCCAUGACUUGCAAGCUAACUGCCACUCUGGGAUGACAGCACUUUAAUUGUGGGGUUGGAGGGGGUGAGGGGUGGAGAUGAGAGGCAGGGAGCUGCCCUUGGUGGCUGGGAGAGGUGGGAGACACAGGGCAGUUGGGCUUGGGGCCAGGACGAGCACUAGAAUUCCAUGGGGCUCUUGGCACUGAUGAUGGGAGCCCUCCUCCUUUACCUCCCAGGGAGGCUUCCUGGCAGUUAGUGCAACUGUGAGCCUCCACUCUCUCCUGUGUGUGUACAGCACGAAUCCCAGGAGAGCAAUUGCAGGCUUUCAGACUGCACGAGCUGGGCAGAGCUUACCAACAGAGCUAAGUAAAUGAAGAGCCCUGGGAGACUUUUACAACUUGAAUGAAGAGUAACAUUAAAACACAAGUGAAAGUUGCUGGGAGGGUCUUCUCUCCAAUGGAGUGCUGAUUCCCAAGACCUGUGGGAGGAGCGGCUGCAUUUCGAGGGGGACUGUGAAGAUACCCUCUGCUGAAAGCAGACAGAGCGGAGGCAGGUGUCUGGCCUCCUUCUGUCCCCUGCUACCAUUUACUUCCUGCCCUUGUUCUACCUUCUUCAUUCUCAAGUCUCUAGCCCCUAGACCACCUCUCCCCACCCCCAGCUUUGGGGAGAGGACCAAAGAGUCCUCUUGAUCUCUUCUUGUCAUGUUAUCAAUUCCAACACAACAUAAGUGGAAGAAAAAGAACUGAGGAGGGGUCAGUGGUGGAGAACUGGAUGAUGCUGAGGGUGGAGGGGGUAGGUAGAAGCAGGGGCAACGCUAUUUACAUGGUGAGACCCUCUGCCAUGUGUGUGCAGAGGGGCCCUUGUUAAACCAAGGCCAAGAAAAUAACUUCUACCCUGUGUCCCAGGGCUGCUCCAAAAAUGAAGCACCCAACCAUCACUGGGUCACCUGGAGGCAGAGUCACCUGAUGUCACUGUUCUCUCUCUAUUCAAGCCAACCAUUUGGCCAUCAAUUUUUGACAUGCUUUUCUUUGCCCUCGAUACUAUACAGUUUUACAGGGAAUUGGUGAUCAUGAUAAUAUGACAGGCUGACACCUUUAGAGACUCCCUAACAACUGUGACUUCUUGGGCAGGCUUCUAAAAAAAAGAUUGUAAGAGUAUCUUGUGUUUCAAAUUCUAAAUCCAGAUUCACCUGAGACUCAAGUGGUAAAUUCUUACUAAGGUGUUUCGAUUUCUCCUCUGUCGUUUAGCUUUGGAAAAACAGUUUUCAUUGAGGUGAGGCCUCUGUGGGAGUUAUCACACCACACAAUUACUCUAAACACAAUAAAAAUGUCAAGGUUGCUCGCAGGAACCUAAACAUCCUUACAACUGGUCUCACAUCUCAAAUCCCCGGGGCCUUGAUGGAGAGAUAAAUCAGUGAGGAUGGCGUGGGGCGAACUCCCUUUCAAAGGAAGAGAAACCAAGAAUUCACUGACAUGCCUUCUUUAGUUCAAUCUGUAAUUAAAAUAUAGAAAUGAUUAAAAUCAAGGCAAUUCAGAGAAUUCAUGAGUUCUCAUCAUAGAGUCAAUCCCAUCAAAUUUAUUUUUAAAACACAUUCACUGAAAAACUUUUUUUUAUAAGAGGAAGACAACAGGCUUUUGAACAACAUUGAUGCCUCCCAAACCUUAAAACCAAACUAAUUAUGAUAUUUGCUAGAGCAUGAGGAUAUUUUUAAAAAUUUUUAAAAAUUAAAGUAUAGUUGAUUUACAGUGUUGGACCAAUGUGUGCUCUACAGCAAAGUGACCUGGCCAGACAUAUUUAUACCUUCCCUUUCUUAAAUUAUCUUUCAUCAUGGUCUAUCCCAAGAGACUGGAUAUAGUUCCCUGUGCUAUACAGUAGGACCUCAUUGCUUGUCCAUUCUAAGUGUAAUCGUUUGAAUCCACCAAUCUCAAACUCCUCGGCCAUCCCACUCCCUCCCCCACUGCCUUGGCAACUAUAAGUCUGUUCUCCAUGUCUGUGAGGCUGUUUCUGUUUGUAGAUAGGCUCCUUUGUGCCAUAUUUUAGGUUCCACAUAUAAGCGAUGUUGUAUGGUAUUUGUCUUUCUCUUUCUGACUUAAUUCACUCAGUAUGAGAGUCUCUAGUUCCAACCAUCUUGCUGCAAAUGGCAUUAUUUUGUUCCUUCUAUGGCUGCGUAACAUUCCAUUGUAUAUAUGUGGCACAUCUUCUUAAUCCAUUCAUCUGUCGUUGGACAUUUAGUGCUGCUAUGAACAUACGGGUGCAUGGAUCUUUUUGAAUUUUAGUUUUGUCUGGAUAUAUACCCAGGAGUGGGAUUGCUGGAUCAUAUGGUAGCUCUAUAUUUAGUUUUCUUCGGAACCUCCAUACUGUUUUCCAUUUGUGAAGAUACUUAAAUAUGUCUGGAAAACUUCUUUAACUGGAAGUCUCUGCCAUUAAGUAGAUCUCAGGUAUCAAUUUUUAACUUGUAUCUAUGACAUAUCACCUCUGCACAGCCCCAUGAGACCAUUCAAAAGCAGCUCACCAUAUCAACCUUGCCCAGACAUCAUAUUAAUUUGUAGGACACAGAGGUGACCAUUAGCAUGCUAUAUAUUCUGUGAUUCAGGAAAUAGACAUGAAUGAUGACAUGGGUAGGUCUGGUGUGACUCCUCUUGGUAGAAAACACAGCUCCAGGAGUGCUCUGAAGAACUGUGCUGUGCAAUAAGCCACAGAUGAACCCCUGAAAAUGCAGAGGAUGUGUAACUUCAGGUGGCUGGCUCUGUCUGUGGCCGGGAUUGCUCAGAGCAUUUUGGAAUAACCUAGGAGGGAGCCCACUGCACAAAACAAGCCCCCUGCCUUGGUGGUCAGAGAAGAUAAGUGAGCUACAAGUUGAGGUGUUUUUCUAGAAUGAGAUUUUAGCUCAUCAGUCAUAAGCUGACAGCUGCCUGGUUGAGCUGCGCUGUAACUACGAACAGCUAUGUCCUUUGAAUGUUUCCGAUGACACCCAUUCCCAGGGGUGAGUGAACUUGUGAAAUGAUGCCACACCACCUGUGUGCUGUCUGAUACGACAGGACCACCUCAACCCUCAGACAGAAGGGGCCG